AAGCCAUGGUGAAGGCACCUUUUCCAUAAAUCCUUGAAUCUCUCCCAUGCAUCAUAAAGUGUUUCUAAAUCCAUCUGUACAAAAGAAGAGAUAUCAUUCCUUAACUU
rnacentral:snoRNA from 1 species